rnacentral:rRNA from 1 species
AGUGAACGCUGGCGGUAGGCCUAACACAUGCAAGUCGAACGGCAGCACAGUAAGAGCUUGCUCUUACGGGUGGCGAGUGGCGGACGGGUGAGGAAUACAUCGGAAUCUACUUUUUCGUGGGGGAUAACGUAGGGAAACUUACGCUAAUACCGCAUACGACCUACGGGUGAAAGCAGGGGAUCUUCGGACCUUGCGCGAUUGAAUUAGCCGAUGUCGGAUUAGCUGGUUGGCGGGGUAAAGGCCCACCAAGGCGACGAUCCGUAGCUGGUCUGAGAGGAUGAUCAGCCACACUGGAACUGAGACACGGUCCAGACUCCUACGGGAGGCAGCAGUGGGGAAUAUUGGACAAUGGGCGCAAGCCUGAUCCAGCCAUACCGCGUGGGUGAAGAAGGCCUUCGGGUUGUAAAGCCCUUUUGUUGGGAAAGAAAAGCAGCAGGUUAAUACCCCGCUGUUCUGACGGUACCCAAAGAAUAAGCACCGGCUAACUUCGU